GUCGAACGAGCGACCCGGACUUCGGUCUGGCAAGCGAGUGGCAGACGGCUGAGUAACACGUAAGCAACCUUCCCAUGGGUGGGGAACAACUCCGAGAAAUCGGAGCUAAUACCGCAUGUUGUCUCUGACUGUAGGGUUUGAGACCAAAGCCUUCGGGCGCCCAUGGACGGGCUUGCGUCCCAUCAGGUAGUUGGCGGGGUAACGGCCCACCAAGCCAAUGACGGGUAGCCGGUGUGAGAGCACGACCGGCCAGAGGGGGACUGAGACACGGCCCCCACUCCUACGGGAGGCAGCAGCAGGGAAUCUUGCGCAAUGGGCGAAAGCCUGACGCAGCGACGCCGCGUGGGGGAAGAAGGCCUGCGGGUCGUAAACCCCUUUUCUGGGGGAAGAGAAAGGACGGUACCCCAGGAAUAAGCCUCGGCUAACUACGUGCCAGCAGCCGCGGUAAUACGUAGGAGGCGAGCGUUGUCCGGAUUUACUGGGUGUAAAGGGCGCGCAGGCGGCUAGGUCCGUCGGCGGUUUAAUCUCCAGGCCCAACCUGGAGGCGUCUGCCGAUACCACCUGGCUUGAGGGCGGUAGAGGAGCACGGAAUUCCUGGUGUAGUGGUGAAAUGCGUAGAUAUCAGGAGGAA
rnacentral:rRNA from 1 species